rnacentral:lncRNA from 1 species
UGCUCAAGCGCCGCCAAAGUGGGAGCCCAGGCAGAGGAGGCGCCCAGAGCGAGCGAGGGCUGUGAGGACUGCCAGCACGCUGUCACCUCUCACUCAUAUAGAUUGCCAAUCUAUUUGUGAACCAGGUUUGCUGGAGUUUGGAUUUACUACUGAGUCAUAUUUGGAGCAUGCUGGAAUCUUACAACUGAGAUUACCGAGUCAGAAAC